GCCGGCUUGGCGAAAUGGCAUACGCGAGAAUUUUAGGUGUUCUUGGUCUCUGACCGUGGGGGUUCGAGUCCCCCAGCCGGCA
rnacentral:tRNA from 1 species